UACGUAGGGUGCGAGCGUUGUCCGGAUUUAUUGGGCGUAAAGAGCUUGUAGGCGGCUCGUCACGUCGGGUGUGAAAACUCGCGGCUCAACCGCGAGCCUGCACCCGAUACGGGCGGGCUAGAGUUCGGCAGGGGAGACUGGAAUUCCUGGUGUAGCGGUGGAAUGCGCAGAUAUCAGGAGGAACACCGGUGGCGAAGGCGGGUCUCUGGGCCGAUACUGACGCUGAGAAGCGAAAGCGUGGGGAGCAAACAGG
rnacentral:rRNA from 1 species